CCAUUUUUUCAGUUCAAACCCUUUUAAAGCCCUCGAGAUUAAGUGAUGAGAACUUCAAGAAAUAUCAACGCGACCAAGAAAGUUUAUUAGAAUCGUGUCAAUUGGAUUUGAAGUCACAACAAAAUGAGAAAAUUAAUAUUCGCCAUAGCCAGAUUGAGUGUGAACAGAAACUUCAAAAUAAACAAUCUUUGAAUACGGAUAUAUCGAGUCUGAAGAAGAAACUAGGUAUGGCACAUUGAAUGGAUUUUUCCGAGUAAAUUGUAAAGUGUUAUAAUUUGUAGAUGACUGUCGAAAUAC